rnacentral:lncRNA from 1 species
GUUUGAAUGAAGAAUAUUUCCAUGUGUCUUUCUGUCCUUAAAAUCAAAAGUUGUGAACAGGCUGGGUGAGGUGGCUCAUGUCUGUAGUCCCACCUCUUUGGAAGGCCAAGGCAGGCAGAUCACUUGAGCCCAGGAGUUCAAGACCAGCCUGGGCAACAAAACAAAACUCCAUCUCUACAACAAUGAAAAAAUUAACCAGGCAUGGUGGCAUGUGCCUGUAGUCCCAGCUACUUGUGAGGCUGAGACUGGAGGAUCGUUGAGCCCAAGAGGCAGAGGUUGCAGUGAACUGUGAUUGUGCCACUGUACAACAGUGCCAGCCUGGGCAACAGAGGAGGCUGAGGCAGGAGAAUCACUUGAACCCAGGAGGCGGAGACUGUAGUGCGCCCAGAUUGUGCCACUGCACUCUGGCUUGGAGACAGAGACU